rnacentral:rRNA from 1 species
AGAGUUUGAUCCUGGCUCAGAACGAACGCUGGCGGCGUGCUUAACACAUGCAAGUCGAACGAGAAAGGGCUUCGGCCCGAGUAAAGUGGCGAACGGGUGAGUAACGCGUGGGUAAUCUGGCCUCGGGUGGGGGAUAACUUCCCGAAAGGGAUGCUAAUACCGCAUGAGACCACUUAUCUCUGGAUGAGUGGGAAAAGGUGGGGAUCUUCGGACCUGCCGCCUGAGGAUGAGCCCGCGUACCAUUAGGUAGUUGGUGGGGUAAAGGCCUACCAAGCCAGAGAUGGUUAGCUGGUCUGAGAGGAUGAUCAGCCACACUGGGACUGAGACACGGCCCAGACUCCUACGGGAGGCAGCAGUGGGGAAUAUUGCGCAAUGGGCGAAAGCCUGACGCAGCCACGCCGCGUGAGCGAUGAAGGUCCUAGGAUCGUAAAGCUCUGUGGAGGGAGAAGAAUAAAGUCGGUGAAGAGCCGACCCUGACGGUAUCCCUUUAGCAAGCACCGGCUAACUCCGUGCCAGCAGCCGCGGUAAUACGGAGGGUGCAAGCGUUGUUCGGAAUUAUUGGGCGUAAAGCGCGCGCAGGUGGGUCAUUAAGUCUGAUGUGAAAUCCCUCGGCUCAACCGAGGACGUGCAUUGGAUACUGGUGACCUUGAGUCCUGGAGAGGAGAGCGGAAUUCCCAGUGUAGAGGUGAAAUUCGUAGAUAUUGGGAGGAACACCAGUGGCGAAGGCGGCUCUCUGGACAGUGACUGACGCUGAGGCGCGAAAGCGUGGGUAGCAAACAGGAUUAGAUACCCUGGUAGUCCACGCCCUAAACGAUGUCAACUAGUUGUCGGGUCUUAAUAGGCUUGGUAACGUAGCUAACGCGUGAAGUUGACCGCCUGGGGAGUACGGUCGCAA